AGUACCUGAAACCGAACGCCUACAAUCAGUCGGAGCUCCCUUGAGGAGUGACGGCGUACCUUUUGUAUAAUGGGUCAUCGACUUGGUCUCACGAGCAAGCUUAAGCCGAUAGGUGUAGGCGCAGCGAAAGCGAGUCUUAAUAGGGCGACUGAGUUCGAGGGAUGAGACCCGAAGCCGGGUGAUCUAGCCAUGUGCAGGUUGAAGGUGCGGUAACACGCACUGGAGGACCGAACCCACGUAUGUUGAAAAAUGCGGGGAUGACGUGUGGCUAGGGGUGAAAGGCCAAUCAAACCCGGAAAUAGCUGGUUCUCCGCGAAAUCUAUUUAGGUAGAGCGUCAAUUGAAUACCCCGGGGGGUAGAGCACUGGAUGGGUAAUGGGGCCCC
rnacentral:rRNA from 14 species